UGGUGCAGAGUCACCCGGCAAGACUCAACCCCAGUUGGGAUUGCCUACAUUAUAUUGCCCUGAUUGUUCAUAGAUGUAAGGGACAGCCCACUAUGGGCAGUGCCUUCCUAGGCAAGUGAGUCUGGGCUUUGUAAGAAAAGUAGCUAAGCAAAACAGUAAGCGAGUGUUCUUUUAUUGUCUGCUUCAGUUCUUGCACUUAGGUUUGUGCUUCCAGGCUCCUGCCUCAGCUUCUUUUGAUGAGAGUGUAAUCUGUAAGCCUAAUAAACCCUUUCUUCCAAAGAUCAACUUUCUUUUAGUCAUGGUUUUAUCCCAGUAACAAAAACCUAAAUAAGAUAAUUAGCCAGCUUUCUGGGAUCUUUAUAGUGGAGAAAAGUUAGAAAAACAGGAAAGGGCUUUAUGACGAACUCCAAUUGUGGCUUGAAGGUCUUGUUACUGCAUAGGAAUAUAUAAGUUGCCAGACUGGCCUUGACCUUGCCAUUCUUCUGCCUCCAACUUCCAAAGAAGCUGAAGUUUUAGGCCUGAGUGACACAUCCAGCUUAGAGUAAUGAUGUGGGUUAGGUUAGUGGAUGUGUUAGGAAGACAGAUGGUAAGAAGGCAGGAAAUGACCUGUGAAGGGAACCCAGGAAAGCAGCAGUUAAUGCAAAGCUUAGGAGUCACUUCGAGUCCGUGGACCUCGCAGGAGAGACGGGCCUUGCUCAGCAGCUCCGUCACUGUAGAGAAUGCGUGAGAAAGCUGUUGGAGAUUUUUAUUUACUUGGUGAUUACUUUUCCUGAGCCAAACAAAAUUGGGUUUUGAGGUCAUACCUUACUUAGCAUCAUUUUAUUUUUCAUGAUGCAAAACAGGAAUACUUGAAAUCCUUAGUAGCUAGAAAACCAUAUUUGAGCACAGUUAACAAACUGGUAGCUCUGUAUAGCACUUUUGUACCCCAAGUCCCCAUUCAUUUAUCAGUCACCAGCUUUGGUCUAAGCUAGGUAAUUUACAGAGAUGGCAAACUGGAUUACUUAAUGCCUCUCUGCCCAAUUCUGCUUUGUUCUGUGUUAAUUUAGCCACUUAAUGUCCUAUGCUUAGUCUGUUCUUUGAACCACAUCUCUGGUACCUCAGUCUCAGACUUAGAAAUUUUUAGCUUUAAUUUUGUAAUACAUAGUUUCCAAGUAUAGUUUAUAGAGUUAUCGAGUCCAUUAUAGUAGCUGAGGACUUAUAGUGUAGCUGGUUCAAAUUGAGGUAUACUAUAAGAAGAAAAAUACAUGCUGUAUUCAAAAUCUCAGUACAAAAAGAUGUCAAAUGUUUAGAUUUUAUGCUGAUUAUACUGAAGAUAGUAAAGAUUUUGGCUAUAUUGAUAUUGGCUUAAUUAUGUUAAAGUUUUUAGUAUAGCUAGUAGAAAGUUUAGAGUUACUGUUCACAUUUCUCUUGAGUUACAGAGUAGCAAGAAAUACAAAUUAGCCUUGUCAAAGAGCGCCGCACGUGUGUGUGUGUGUGUGUGUGUGUGUGUGUGUGUGUGUGUGUGUGAGAGAGAGAGCUAGAGAGAGAGAGAGAGAGAGAGAGAGAGAGAGAGAGAAGAGAUGUGGGUAGGGUAGAUAACAGUUCAGUGGAGGAGUGCUGCCCAGCACAUGAGGGACCCAGGGUUCAGUCACCACUGCUAUCCAUCCAUCAAUCCAUCCAUCCAUCCAUCCGUCCAUCCAUCCAUCUUCCAUAUGCAGACAGGAAUGGAGGAAUUCCUGAUAGGUUUGCCUGUUUUCCACCAGCUCCUUAUUUUUAACUAGUCUUGGCAUGUCUUUAUAUUACAGGUAACAGUAGAAUGUGCUAGUGUGAGGCUCCUUUAUAGAGUGUUUGUGGCUGGAUGUGUUAGUGCCUUUGAUGCCAGCACUCGGGAUGCAAAGGCAGGCAGAUUUCUGAGAUUGAGACCAGCCAAGACUAUAUAUAGUGAGACUGUACCCUGAAAAAAGGAGCCUUUAUUUGAACUCAAAGUUCAAUGUAAUUAACUAACCUUAAAAAAAAAAAUAAAACUCAGCUGACAGUCAUAUCCCUCUGUUCAGGUAUUUCUGAAGAGAAACUGUGCUGGCACAGAAUAUUUUACACUAAGCUUGGUUAUGAUGUAUACUUAGUUACUUGAAGCCUGUGGCUAACUACUGUAUCUAGAAGUAUAUGGGGUCGGUAAUGGCCAGCUCUGCGCUUUCCAUUCUGUUGGUUAAUUGAGUUCAUUUUUUUUUUUAAACAAGUAGAAAGGUAACUAAUGACCUUGAGGGAUCAGUUGCAAGAGUAACAUAGCUAUCCCAUUUUCUUUCUUUAACC
rnacentral:lncRNA from 1 species